rnacentral:rRNA from 1 species
UUGGGCACUCUAGCGAGACUGCCGGUAAUAAACCGGAGGAAGGUGGGGAUGACGUCAAAUCAUCAUGCCCUUAUGACCUGGGCUACACACGUGCUACAAUGGUUGGUACAACGAGUUGCGAGUCGGUGACGGCGAGCUAAUCUCUUAAAGCCAAUCUCAGUUCGGAUUGUAGGCUGCAACUCGCCUACAUGAAGUCGGAAUCGCUAGUAAUCGCGGAUCAGCACGCCGCGGUCGAAUACGUUCCCGGGCCUU